ACUAAGCGUACACGGUGGAUGCCCUGGCAGUCAGAGGCGAUGAAGGACGUGCUAAUCUGCGAAAAGCGCCGGCGAGGUGAUAUGAACCUUUGACCCGGCGAUGUCCGAAUGGGGAAACCCAGUGUGUUCCGACACACUAUCGUUAACUGAAUACAUAGGUUAACGAGGCGAACCGGGGGAACUGAAACAUCUAAGUACCCCGAGGAAAAGAAAUCAACCGAGAUUCCCCCAGUAGCGGCGAGCGAACGGGGAGCAGCCCAGAGUCUGAAUCAGCUUGUGUGUUAGUGGAAGCGUCUGGAAAGUCGCACGGUACAGGGUGAAAGUCCCGUACACGAAAGCACACAGGCUGUGAACUCGAAGAGUAGGGCGGGACACGUGGUAUCCUGUCUGAAUAUGGGGGGACCAUCCUCCAAGGCUAAAUACUCCUGACUGACCGAUAGUGAACCAGUACCGUGAGGGAAAGGCGAAAAGAACCCCGGCGAGGGGAGUGAAAAAGAACCUGAAACCGUGUACGUACAAGCAGUGGGAGCCUCUUUUAUGGGGUGACUGCGUACCUUUUGUAUAAUGGGUCAGCGACUUAUAUUCUGUAGCAAGGUUAACCGUAUAGGGGAGCCGAAGGGAAACCGAGUCUUAACUGGGCGUUAAGUUGCAGGGUAUAGACCCGAAACCCGGUGAUCUAGCCAUGGGCAGGUUGAAGGUUGGGUAACACUAACUGGAGGACCGAACCGACUAAUGUUGAAAAAUUAGCGGAUGACUUGUGGCUGGGGGUGAAAGGCCAAUCAAACCGGGAGAUAGCUGGUUCUCCCCGAAAGCUAUUUAGGUAGCGCCUCGUGAACUCAUCUUCGGGGGUAGAGCACUGUUUCGGCUAGGGGGCCAUCCCGGCUUACCAACCCGAUGCAAACUACGAAUACCGAAGAAUGUUAUCACGGGAGACACACGGCGGGUGCUAACGUCCGUCGUGAAGAGGGAAACAACCCAGACCGCCAGCUAAGGUCCCAAAGUCAUGGUUAAGUGGGAAACGAUGUGGGAAGGCACAGACAGCCAGGAUGUUGGCUUAGAAGCAGCCAUCAUUUAAAGAAAGCGUAAUAGCUCACUGGUCGAGUCGGCCUGCGCGGAAGAUGUAACGGGGCUAAACCAUGCACCGAAGCUGCGGCAGCGACACUAUGUGUUGUUGGGUAGGGGAGCGUUCUGUAAGCCGUUGAAGGUGUCCUGUGAGGGGUGCUGGAGGUAUCAGAAGUGCGAAUGCUGACAUAAGUAACGAUAAAGCGGGUGAAAAGCCCGCUCGCCGGAAGACCAAGGGUUCCUGUCCAACGUUAAUCGGGGCAGGGUGAGUCGACCCCUAAGGCGAGGCCGAAAGGCGUAGUCGAUGGGAAACAGGUUAAUAUUCCUGUACUUGGUGUUACUGCGAAGGGGGGACGGAGAAGGCUAUGUUAGCCGGGCGACGGUUGUCCCGGUUUAAGCAUGUAGGCGGAACGAUUAGGUAAAUCCGGUCGUUUAUUAACGCUGAGGUGUGAUGACGAGGCACUACGGUGCUGAAGUAACAAAUGCCCUGCUUCCAGGAAAAGCCUCUAAGCAUCAGGUAACAUCAAAUCGUACCCCAAACCGACACAGGUGGUCAGGUAGAGAAUACCAAGGCGCUUGAGAGAACUCGGGUGAAGGAACUAGGCAAAAUGGUGCCGUAACUUCGGGAGAAGGCACGCUGAUAUGUAGGUGAAGCCCCUGCGGGUGGAGCUGAAAUCAGUCGAAGAUACCAGCUGGCUGCAACUGUUUAUUAAAAACACAGCACUGUGCAAACACGAAAGUGGACGUAUACGGUGUGACGCCUGCCCGGUGCCGGAAGGUUAAUUGAUGGGGUUAGCGGUAACGCGAAGCUCUUGAUCGAAGCCCCGGUAAACGGCGGCCGUAACUAUAACGGUCCUAAGGUAGCGAAAUUCCUUGUCGGGUAAGUUCCGACCUGCACGAAUGGCGUAAUGAUGGCCAGGCUGUCUCCACCCGAGACUCAGUGAAAUUGAACUCGCUGUGAAGAUGCAGUGUACCCGCGGCAAGACGGAAAGACCCCGUGAACCUUUACUAUAGCUUGACACUGAACACUGGUCCUUGAUGUGUAGGAUAGGUGGGAGGCUUUGAAGCGUGGACGCCAGUCUGCGUGGAGCCAACCUUGAAAUACCACCCUUUAAUGGCUGGUGUUCUAACGUAGACCCGUGAUCCGGGUUGCGGACAGUGUCUGGUGGGUAGUUUGACUGGGGCGGUCUCCUCCCAAAGAGUAACGGAGGAGCACGAAGGUUAGCUAAUCCUGGUCGGACAUCAGGAGGUUAGUGCAAUGGCAUAAGCUAGCUUGACUGCGAGAGUGACGGCUCGAGCAGGUGCGAAAGCAGGUCAUAGUGAUCCGGUGGUUCUGAAUGGAAGGGCCAUCGCUCAACGGAUAAAAGGUACUCCGGGGAUAACAGGCUGAUACCGCCCAAGAGUUCAUAUCGACGGCGGUGUUUGGCACCUCGAUGUCGGCUCAUCACAUCCUGGGGCUGAAGUAGGUCCCAAGGGUAUGGCUGUUCGCCAUUUAAAGUGGUACGCGAGCUGGGUUUAGAACGUCGUGAGACAGUUCGGUCCCUAUCUGCCGUGGGCGCUGGAGAAUUGAGGGGGGCUGCUCCUAGUACGAGAGGACCGGAGUGGACGCAUCACUGGUGUUCGGGUUGUCAUGCCAAUGGCACUGCCCGGUAGCUAAAUGCGGAAGAGAUAAGUGCUGAAAGCAUCUAAGCACGAAACUUGCCCCGAGAUGAGUUCUCCCUGAGACUUUAAGUCUCCUGAAGGAACGUUGAAGACUACGACGUUGAUAGGUCGGGUGUGUAAGCGCAGCGAUGCGUUGAGCUAACCGAUACUAAUGAACCGUGAGGCUUAACC
rnacentral:rRNA from 1 species